rnacentral:tRNA from 1 species
AAGAAGUAGUUUAAUUAAAAUAUUAAUUUUGGAGAUUAAUGAUAAAUUUAUAAUUUCUUUUUGAU